ACUGUAGGAGUAGGAUGCACACCUAGAUGUGAUCUAUUGAUCUUGAUAGAUAAGGAGUAGUCCUAUGUUAUUUAUGAGAUUGAGUUUGAAAGACCUUGGUCAGGACAGUGUGAAUGAUAAAAAGAAGUUUUCAUCAUAUUUCAUGAAUGAACUCAAGUCGAAUAAAUCUUACAUAUAACAAGUGAUGAAAUUUGACGAGUUAUCCAUGACCUUCAUCUUAUCGGGACUCACGAUAGAAGGACUGAAUCACAUG
rnacentral:lncRNA from 1 species